ensembl:snRNA Gm26122 predicted gene, 26122
AAAAAAAGGAACGCUACAGAGAAGAUUAGCAUGGCCUCUGUGCAAGGAUGACAUGCAAAUUUGUGAAGCAUUCCAUAUUUAA